rnacentral:rRNA from 1 species
UGGGGAAUCUUGCGCAAUGCGCGAAAGCGUGACGCAGCAACGCCGCGUGGGGGAAGAAGGCCUUCGGGUUGUAAACCCCUUUCAGGAGGGACGAAGGUCGGGCGGUGAAUAGCCGACCCGACUGACGGUACCUCCAGAAGAAGCCCCGGCUAACUACGUGCCAGCAGCCGCGGUAAUACGUAGGGGGCAAGCGUUGUCCGGAUUUAUUGGGCGUAAAGAGCGUGUAGGCGGCCAGGCAGGUCCGUUGUGAAAACUCGAGGCUCAACCUCGGGAUGUCGAUGGAAACCGGCUGGCUAGAGUCCGGAAGAGGAGUGUGGAAUUCCUGGUGUAGCGGUGAAAUGCGCAGAUAGCAGGAAGAACACCUAUGGCGAAGGCAGCACUCUGGGACGGUACUGACGCUGAGACGAGAAAGCGUGGGGAGCGAACAGG